UAUUCUUCAUCACCUCAUCAGUAAACUUGGCAUGCCCUAUAUGCAAAACCUUAAGCGAUCUCCAAUCCACUCUCCCUUCAGGCAAGAAAUCGCAAAACUCAGUCUUCAGUUCCUGUAGAGAGUUAUUACUGUAGAAGAAUUUUGGCAACAAGUAAGCAUCAGAAAAACUAAAGAUAACAUGAUAAUCUUCAAAUGAACAAAAUUCCAAGGUUAGCUCCUCCGGGUCACGUCUCAUAACAAAAAGAAUCCAUGAUUCUAUUUGAGAAUUCAAACUAUAAUAAUGUGAAGAAUCGAGCUGGAGAUGGAAUUUCCUGAUCUUGGAUGAGGAGUAAAGACUCAAGGUUUUGACUAUAAAUUCACCGUAGCUUUCAUAGAACUGGGGAUUGUGCUCCUCACAGUAUCGGAAGAUGAGAUUGAGAACGUGAGUCCAUAGAUGUUG
rnacentral:misc_RNA from 1 species